rnacentral:sRNA from 1 species
UCAGUUUCUACGAGUUGGAUGUUCGAC